rnacentral:lncRNA from 1 species
GGUUGCAGGAGCUGCGGCUGCAGGAGCGGCAACAGCAGCGGCGGCUGCUGAGGGGACAGGAAUCGCCUCCGCUUGCGGCGUUCCUCCAACUUCUUCUCCGCCCAGCUCAGGCCCCCGCCUCCCCCCAGCGCCGUGUCCGAGCUGCUCGGCAUCGCCUAGAGCCAGCCGCAGAGCGCGGCGCGGGUGCGGCCUCCUCCCGGGUCAGAUCCUGGCCAUCUCCCCCGCCGGAAACGGGAGCGGCGGCGGAGGGACACCGAGCACCAGAGCCGGCCGGGAAAAGCGCCACGAUAAUCCGGGUCGGGACUCGGGUCCCUGGGUUCCAGGUCACAGUGGGGUACGCAGCAGCCUCCGGGCCCCAGGGAAGCAGGAAUCCGGGCGGCGGAGCUCCCGAUUGCGCUCGUCGUCCUAUCCUCGGCAGCGAAAACACCAGAUGCGCCGGGCGCUGACCUGCGGGGGAGUCCCGAGUCCUCCAAGUGCCCCCGGGGGUGGGGGAGCGGCCUUGGCCGCGCUCUCGGCUCGGGCAGCGCAACGCGGAAGUACCACCUUCGUCGCCGCUUCACUCCAUCGCGCCCUGACGUUGGGUGCAAGUUCAGGGGAGGGGAGUGGGCGAGACAACAACACGCCUCCACCGCCUCCUCCUCGGCGUCGACGUCGUCCUCCUGUGGUGGCGGCGACACACCGCAGGCGCCUCGGAAGUGGCCUGGGCCUGACAACAACUCCCGGCCUAGGGCCUCGCGCACUCUGCGGCCCGCGGGGCUGGGCAGCGGGGCGGGGCGAGGCGGGGGCGACCGGGCUGCGGCUCUCGGUUGGGGCAGCGACUGUGCGGGGCUGGGCGGGGGGCUAUUUCCGGGGAGAUGGGGGCAGGGGCGUUUCUGAGUCUGUGGCGGUAGGUACGGGCCCUGACUUUCUUCUUCUUUCGCCGCCGCCGCCGCCGCCAGCAGAGGUGGCGGAGCUACCCCUUUCCUCCGCUCCCCCCCUCCACGAGGAGGCUCCUGGUGUGCGCGGCCUGCCCCGGCUCGCUCCUCCCCUUCCCUCUCCGCUCCUCGUCAGGAGGAGGGAGAGCAACGGGACUUGCUGGUUGGGCCCUAACCUCCACAACCCCUCCUUCUCGCCUCGCUCUUUCGGCUUUUCCCCUCAGCCCUGACGUACGACCGGGAGCGCGCCCGCAAUUCACGCUCAGAGAAAGCCGAAGAUGAGAGGUGGCCGGGGCAAGAGAGGCGGGAACAAAGUUACCGCGCACUGGCGUGCUCGCUCCCGCCAGGGGCCGGCAGGCCGCACCGGAAGUGGCAUGAUGUAGAAACCGCUCGGCUUCCGGCGAGGGUGGGACUCCGUGUGAAGAAGGGUUAAAGAAAGGAGAGGAUUCGUGUGCCGCCCACUGCUGUUGCUUGAGACUCUGCCCGUGGUGGCGCGCCUGUCGUGCUUGUUGCUUGCGUCCAGCGCGCAGUGCCGGUUCCGGCUCUGCAGACGCCGCACUGCCUGCCUGUUGAGCGAAAGGUCACAGUGAGAACAAGUGUUUCUGGAGACUGCGAGGGAAAUAAUGCUGUUGGUGGCCUUCUGGAGUAGGCAGUUACCCCCCGUGUACCUUCAGUCAAGCCCUGGGAGUGGAACAGCUGCGAAAGGAGAGAAAACACCCCGCAAAACAGGGUGGAGAUGGCGUUGGUUUAACUUGUCUCACGUACGCCAAAGUUCGAGGCCCCAUUUUUUUUUUUUUUUUUUUUGAGACUGAGUUUCGCUCUCGUUGCCCAGGCUGGAGUGCAAUGGUGCGAUCUCGGCUCACCGCAACUUCCGCGAGGCCCCUUCUUAUCCUAAAAAACACACUUGGGAAUCACAGCUCAAGCUUCGGUAACACUAUUUACUUUAAAAUAAAAAUUUUUAAAGCUUUAAAUCAAUACAGGAAAUAAGUGGAAUGUUAAAAGGAACUACUGAAAAUUCCAAAUUCUCAGGAGGCUUGAAAUAAAAACAUCUUGUGCGAAUGAGGACUGCCCUCUUAGUACUUCACCCACUUUCACCUUCAUAUCUAAACCUUUGGGGUUGCCAAACAUAGCCAUAUAGUGACCUCACAUCUCAUUUCUUGCCUUAGAAUUGCCCUUCAGUUACAGACUAAGCACUCGGGAUAAUUAGAUUAAAAUGUAAAUGGCUUAUUGGCUUUUAGAAUGGUUGGAAACGCAAGCUAACCCUGUGCAGUGGCACACGCCUGUAGUCCCAGCUACUCCGGAGGCUGAGGCAGGAGGAUCUCUGGAGCUCAAGAGUUCGAGGCUGGAGUGAGCCAUGACCGUGCCACAGCACCCCAGCCUGGCCAAUCAGCAGGGCGAGGCCCUGCCUCUAAUAAAAGAAAAAGCUAAGCCGUCUGUUCAAUGACUAAAUGUAGUAACCCCUUUGAAAAUUCAUUUGUUCAGAUCAUCAGUUGGUUUAGUUCUUAAACACUUGGUAUCUAUCCAUCGUUAAUACCUUAGUGUAAAUUAUUUUAAUCAGUUUGACAUCACAGUAUCACAGACUGGCCUGAUUUAAGCUAAGAUCAGACUUCACUGACCGAGUACAAAGGAUGUUGGUUUGCUGAAGGAUAAAGGAGGAGGCAAAGGAAUAGGUAAUCUUAAAGUCAGAGCAUUUCCCAGGAGGGCAGGCCUGGGUGGGCAACACCAUGGGAUGGGCAUUGGGAAACUGAAUAGAAAAAUAGGGGGCAGGGUUCCUAAAACAAAUUUCUGGUUGACAGUAUUGUUGAGUGAAGGUCCUGUAGCCAGCCUCCUACCAAAGACUGUUUAGCAAGUGGCUUUUUCAGAAACAUGUAGGAUCAACUUGUUCCAUCGUCCUACGUUAGAUAGACUGGAAUAACAGAACAAAGAGAGCAAAUAAGAGGUUUAGCUUGCAGCUCCCCUCGUGUACAACCAGUUCCACUUGAGAAUGUCAUCUUCUAUCAUAUAUUUUCAAAGAAAACUUGAUCCAUAGUAAAUGGAUAAUUCCCAUGUGUAAGUGUAUUAAAUGGAGAAGAAGGGAAAAAAAGUAAAUGGAUAGUUCCCAAUCCAGGGUGCAAACAAAAAACAUGUACUAAAAUAUUUUUACUGUGGUUCUACCACCCACGUUUCCUCAAAGAUUCUACCUUUGGUGGGGGAGGUUGAAUGAACAUUUUGAGCUCAAGAUACCUGCCCACGUGGUUGGAAACACUAAUAACUAAUAGGAUUCAAACUCCAAAAAAUGGGAAGGACCUUUGAAUUAGAAGCCGUCUGUUUCUAUAAGCCUGUCUGCUUGCCUGAAUAUUAAAGAGAUUUGAAAUUCCC